rnacentral:rRNA from 1 species
GACGAACGCUGGCGGCGUGCUUAACACAUGCAAGUCGAGCGGUAAGGCCCUUUCGGGGGUACACGAGCGGCGAACGGGUGAGUAACACGUGGGUGACCUGCCCUCAGCUCUGGGAUAAGCCUGGGAAACCGGGUCUAAUACUGGAUAUGACUCCAUGACGCAUGUUGUGGGGUGGAAAGCCUUGUGCGGCUGAGGAUGGGCCCGCGGCCUAUCAGCUUGUUGGUGGGGUGAGGCCUACCAAGGCGACGACGGGUAGCCGGCCUGAGAGGCGACCGGCCACACUGGGACUGAGACACGGCCAGACUCCUACGGGAGGCAGCAGUGGGGAAUCUUGCGCAAUGGGCGAAAGCCUGACGCAGCGACGCCGCGUGAGGGAUGACGGCCUGG